rnacentral:rRNA from 1 species
ACUUAAAUUGAAGAGUUUGAUCAUGGCUCAGAUUGAACGCUGGCGGCAGGCCUAACACAUGCAAGUCGAGCGGUAGCACAGAGAGCUUGCUCUCGGGUGACGAGCGGCGGACGGGUGAGUAAUGUCUGGGAAACUGCCUGAUGGAGGGGGAUAACUACUGGAAACGGUAGCUAAUACCGCAUAACGUCGCAAGACCAAAGUGGGGGACCUUCGGGCCUCAUGCCAUCAGAUGUGCCCAGAUGGGAUUAGCUAGUAGGUGGGGUAAUGGCUCACCUAGGCGACGAUCCCUAGCUGGUCUGAGAGGAUGACCAGCCACACUGGAACUGAGACACGGUCCAGACUCCUACGGGAGGCAGCAGUGGGGAAUAUUGCACAAUGGGCGCAAGCCUGAUGCAGCCAUGCCGCGUGUAUGAAGAAGGCCUUCGGGUUGUAAAGUACUUUCAGCGAGGAGGAAGGCGUUAAGGUUAAUAACCUUAGCGAUUGACGUUACUCGCAGAAGAAGCACCGGCUAACUCCGUGCCAGCAGCCGCGGUAAUACGGAGGGUGCAAGCGUUAAUCGGAAUUACUGGGCGUAAAGCGCACGCAGGCGGUCUGUCAAGUCGGAUGUGAAAUCCCCGGGCUCAACCUGGGAACUGCAUUCGAAACUGGCAGGCUAGAGUCUUGUAGAGGGGGGUAGAAUUCCAGGUGUAGCGGUGAAAUGCGUAGAGAUCUGGAGGAAUACCGGUGGCGAAGGCGGCCCCCUGGACAAAGACUGACGCUCAGGUGCGAAAGCGUGGGGAGCAAACAGGAUUAGAUACCCUGGUAGUCCACGCCGUAAACGAUGUCGACUUGGAGGUUGUGCCCUUGAGGCGUGGCUUCCGGAGCUAACGCGUUAAGUCGACCGCCUGGGGAGUACGGCCGCAAGGUUAAAACUCAAAUGAAUUGACGGGGGCCCGCACAAGCGGUGGAGCAUGUGGUUUAAUUCGAUGCAACGCGAAGAACCUUACCUACUCUUGACAUCCAGAGAACUUAGCAGAGAUGCUUUGGUGCCUUCGGGAACUCUGAGACAGGUGCUGCAUGGCUGUCGUCAGCUCGUGUUGUGAAAUGUUGGGUUAAGUCCCGCAACGAGCGCAACCCUUAUCCUUUGUUGCCAGCGGUUCGGCCGGGAACUCAAAGGAGACUGCCAGUGAUAAACUGGAGGAAGGUGGGGAUGACGUCAAGUCAUCAUGGCCCUUACGAGUAGGGCUACACACGUGCUACAAUGGCAUAUACAAAGAGAAGCGACCUCGCGAGAGCAAGCGGACCUCAUAAAGUAUGUCGUAGUCCGGAUUGGAGUCUGCAACUCGACUCCAUGAAGUCGGAAUCGCUAGUAAUCGUAGAUCAGAAUGCUACGGUGAAUACGUUCCCGGGCCUUGUACACACCGCCCGUCACACCAUGGGAGUGGGUUGCAAAAGAAGUAGGUAGCUUAACCUUCGGGAGGGCGCUUACCACUUUGUGAUUCAUGACUGGGGUGAAGUCGUAACAAGGUAACCGUAGGGGAACCUGCGGUUGGAUCACCUCCUUACCU